AUGAUCACUAGAGCUGAGUUAGAUCGGCGUCGCCCUCAAGGUUACCACAGCAUCCUCCGAUCGCAGGCUCUCACCAACAAAGGACUGGAAUCAACCGAAAAGAAAUGGAUGUCUCCAAGAUCAAAGGAGCUCCACACCACGAGUCUGUCUGGUAUUGCCUUGACCAAGAAUCCAACUAACCUUACUGCUCAAAAGAUUGAAUUCACUUUUAAUUCCUUGCCAUACUGA